UACGGGGGGAGCAAGCGUUGUUCGGAUUUACUGGGCGUAAAGGGCGCGUAGGCGGCGUAACAAGUCACUUGUGAAAUCUCCGGGCUUAACCCGGAGCGGCCAAGUGAUACUGUUGUGCUAGAGUGCGGAAGGGGCUACUGGAAUUCUCGGUGUAGCGGUGAAAUGCGUAGAUAUCGAGAGGAACACCUGAGGUGAAGACGGGUUGCUGGGCUGACACUGACGCUGAUGCGCGAAAGCCAGGGUAGCAAACGGG
rnacentral:rRNA from 1 species